AGAACCACGUCACCUGCCUAUCCCAGCCAGACAAAAGUCAACUACUGCUGAGGCAUGGGCUUAAUAAAUGUUGACUAAAAUAUCCAACUCAACAACCGAUCCUGUAUAAUUUUCAAAGUGUGUCAAUAACUUGCUGGGUCCAACCUGCAGACCCUGGCUGUGUGACAGAUGAAGAAAUGCACUCAGACACACAUCCCCUACAAAAGACUAUGUUUCUUCUCAGCUUGCUCAGUCCAGCUGAGCCAGCUUUCCACUGGACUCCUGAAUGUGAGAAGGACACAGGCUCCCAGGACCAUCCAGAAGCAUGUCUCAUCACCAUAAAGCUCUGAAACACUGGCUGGGUGCAGAGGCUUAUGCCCGUAAUCCCAACACAUUCAGAGGCUGAGGUGGGAGGAUUGCUUGAGGCCAGGAAUUCAAGACCAGACUAGGCAGCAUAGCAAGACCCAUCUCUACAAAAAGUACACCCCAAAAUUAGCUGGGUGUGGUGGCACACGCCUGUAGUCUCAAUUAAUUGGGAGGCUGAGGCGGGACUAUCCUUUGAGCCCAGGAGUUUGAGGCUGCAGUGAGGUAUGAUCUCACCACCACACUCCAGCCUGGGAGAUAGACUGAGACCAUCUCUAAAACAACAACAGGCCAGGUGCAGUGGCUCAUGCCUGUAAUCCCAGCAAUUUGGGAGGCCGAGGCAGGUGGAUCACCUGAGAUCAGGAGUUCAAGACCAGCCUGGGCAACCUGGUGAAAUCCUGUCUCUACUAAAAAUACAAAAAAUUAGCAGGGCAUGGUGGCACGCACCUGUAACCCCAGCUACUCAGGAGGCCGAGGCAGGAGCAUUGCUUGUACCCAGGAGGCAGAGAUUGCAGUGAGCUGAGAUCACGCCAUUGCACUCCAGUCUGAGCAACAAGAGCAAAACUUCGUCUCAAAAAAUUAAAAAAUAUAAAAAAUAAAACAACAACAACAACAACAAAUGAGACAGAAAACGGAAAUAUUUUAAGUUUCAUUAUUGCUUGUUAGUUGAUUAAAGUAAUUCGGCUUCCACUUUAUUUUUAAAGACACUAAUUGCUACACUGAAUAAAACCUUAAUCCAGUUUCA